GUCUUUGUUCCUGUCGCUGUGUUAGUUCACACAAGUAUAGGCUGUUUUGUUAUUUACGGUCUCUGGUUUGUAGUGUUUGUGUUAAUUCGUGUUUAUGUUGUUCAUUAAACAUGGAUCGCAAUCUACACGCUGCAUUUUGGUCCGACUCUCCUUCACACCUAGAAAACCGUUACAAAGGACUGGAGAUGCUUUUGCCAGACGGCAGCCUCAGUUGUUUAAUGGGGAGACCAUAAUUGGAAACAUGUAUGGAGCCAGGACAUGGAGACUUGCAAGAUGAUGUGAUGAAGUCCAGAAUGAUAGACGGGCUUGAUAUGGAUAUCUCUGAAUGGAGAGAGACACGGGACUCUGCAUUAACAUUUUACUAGACACAGCUUUUAAUUGUAUUGCCUUUUUUAUUAUUGAAUUGAAUGGUAUCAGUCAACAUGGGGAGGGAGAAACAGUGUAUUCUGCACCAGGAUAAAGGAAAUCAUAUUGUAAUAAGGGACACCUCUCAGGAAGGUAUGACCACUCUGACAUGUUUGCCAAGGUAGCCCCAUUACCACCUGACAAAGUGUCGAUAGGCACAGUACCUGUAUCGGCUGGGAAUGACAAAUGAAAGGUGCACAUUGUUAUAUUAUCAGAACACUGCUUCUAUGGUAUAAUGUAAAGGUUUGUUUAUUCUAUAUGGACCUGUUACUACAUUUGAAAGUUAUCAAAACACUUAGUUUAGAAUAUCUACAUAAAUUCAGCAAUUGCAUUCUUCUCAUAUUACUGUGUAGCCUACUGACCUAUUCACAGCUUCCAUCGUCAUCUCACAUUACAUCUGCAUGUAGUUAAUGAACUCAACCUGCACAAGGUUUGUUUGUUGUGGCUGAGUGGGGGGAAACAGCUGAGGGCAAGGUUCUGACAGAUGGGUGUGUCUUGAUGGUGGCAAGGACAGACGCAAGAAACACACACCUUAAACCACACCCCCAAUCCAACUCCCGUUUGGCUUCUGUCAUAGCCGCCAGCAUUUCUUGAGGAGAAAGCCCCCAUAAAUUGGCCUAAUCAUCGGGUCCAGGGUUCCCAUAAUAGUUACACAUUUCAAUAUUUUCCAAUUAUUCUCCCCCUGGCCCUGGGACAAUUAACAGGUGUACGAACCACUACACAGUUCAAAAAUGCCAUUCUCAAACGCAUCUUCAAUUGCGGUCAUACUCUCCAACCAGGAAACAUGAAAAUACCUCAAUAAUUAGGUUCAAAUAAAGUAAGCAUUCACAUUUCUUUAGCUUAACUUUAGCGUUAAU